AAGAUUUUAAGUUAAAAUUUAAACUGUUAACCUUCAAAGUUAUUAAUGCCUUAUGUAAGUCUUA
rnacentral:tRNA from 1 species